AGAGUUUGAUCCUGGCUCAGGACGAACGCUGGCGGCGUGCCUAACACAUGCAAGUCGCGCGAGAAAGCCCCUUCGGGGGUGAGUAGAGCGGCGGACGGGUGAGUAACACGUGAGUGAUCUACCUGGAGGCGGGGGACAACCCAGGGAAACCUGGGCUAAUACCGCGUACAGCGGCGGGCGUAGAGGCCCGUCGUGAAAGCUGGCCUCUCCUUGGAAGCCAGCGCCUUCAGAUGAGCUCGCGGCCUAUCAGCUAGUUGGUGAGGUAACGGCUCACCAAGGCGAUGACGGGUAGCUGGCGUGAGAGCGCGAUCAGCCACACUGGGACUGAGACACGGCCCAGACUCCUACGGGAGGCAGCAGUGGGGAAUCUUGCACAAUGGGCGAAAGCCUGAUGCAGCGACGCCGCGUGGGGGGAGGAAGGCCCUAGGGUUGUAAACCCCUGUCAGGCGGGAAGAAACUCGGGUCGGCAAACAGUCGGUCCGAUUGACGGUACCGCCAGAGGAAGCUCCGGCUAACUCCGUGCCAGCAGCCGCGGUAAAACGGAGGGAGCGAGCGUUGUCCGGAAUUACUGGGCGUAAAGGGCGCGUAGGCGGCCGCGUGAGUCGUAUGCGAAAGGCCGGGGCUUAACCCCGUGCAUGGCAUGCGAUACU
rnacentral:rRNA from 1 species